rnacentral:rRNA from 1 species
GACGAACGCUGGCGGCGUGCCUAAUACAUGCAAGUCGAACGCAUUUUCUUUCACCGUAGCUUGCUACACCGAAAGAAAAUGAGUGGCGAACGGGUGAGUAACACGUGGGUAACCUGCCCAUCAGCGGGGGAUAACACUUGGAAACAGGUGCUAAUACCGCAUAAUUCCAUUUACCGCAUGGUAGAUGGAUGAAAGGCGCUUUUGCGUCACUGAUGGAUGGACCCGGGGUGCAUUAGCUAGUUGGUGGGGUAACGGCCUACCAAGGCUGCGAUGCAUAGCCGACCUGAGAGGGUGAUCGGCCACACUGGGACUGAGACACGGCCCAGACUCCUACGGGAGGCAGCAGUAGGGAAUCUUCGGCAAUGGACGCAAGUCUGACCGAGCAACGCCGCGUGAGUGAAGAAGGUUUUCGGAUCGUAAAACUCUGUUGUUAGAGAAGAACAAGGAUGAGAGUGGAAAGUUCAUCCCUUGACGGUAUCUAACCAGAAAGCCACGGCUAACUACGUGCCAGCCGCCGCCGUAACAC